AAGGGCGCACGGUGGAUGCCUUGGCACUAGGAGCCGAUGAAGGACGGGACUAACACCGAUAUGCUUCGGGGAGCUGUAAGUAAGCUUUGAUCCGGAGAUUUCCGAAUGGGGGAACCCGCUGCACGUAAUGGUGCAGUAUCCAUACUUGAAUACAUAGAGUAUGGAAGGCAGACCCGGGGAACUGAAACAUCUAAGUACCCGGAGGAAGAGAAAGCAAACGCGAUUCCCUGAGUAGCGGCGAGCGAAACGGGAUUAGCCCAAACCAAGAGGCUUGCCUCUUGGGGUUGUAGGACACUCUAUACGGAGUUACAAAGGAACGAAGUAGACGAAGAAGUCUGGAAAGGCUCGUCACAGAAGGUAACAACCCUGUAGUCGAAACUUCGUUCCCUCUUGAGUGGAUCCUGAGUACGGCGGGACACGAGAAAUCCCGUCGGAAGCUGGGAGGACCAUCUCCCAAGGCUAAAUACUCCCUAGUGACCGAUAGUGAACCAGUACCGUGAGGGAAAGGUGAAAAGCACCCCGGAAGGGGAGUGAAAUAGAACCUGAAACCGUGUGCCUACAAGUAGUCAGAGCCCG
rnacentral:rRNA from 2 species